rnacentral:rRNA from 1 species
AAUAUAAGAGGUCCCGCCUGCCCUGUGACUAUAUGUUUAACGGCCGCGGUAUCUUAACCGUGCGAAGGUAGCGUAAUCACUUGUCUUUUAAAUGAAGACCUGUAUGAAUGGCAUCACGAGGGCUUAACUGUCUCCCCUCUCCAGUCAAUGAAAUUGACCUCCCCGUGCAGAGGCGGGGAUAUCUUUAUAAGACGAGAAGACCCUGUGGAGCUUUAGACCUAAAAUAAACCACGUUUAAGAUACUAAAAUUAAUAGCAAAAACUUAGUGGACAAUUAUUAAAGUGUCUUUGGUUGGGGCGACCGCGGAGUAAAACACAACCUCCAUGUGGACGGGGAUACUAUCCCUAAAACUCAGAGCCUCCACUCCAAGCAACAGAAAUUCUGACCUAACUGAUCCGGUAUAACCGAUUAACGAACCCAGUUACCCCAGGGAUAACAGCGCAAUCCCCUCUCAGAGCUCAUAUCGACGAGGGGGUUUACGACCUCGAUGUUGGAUCAGGACAUCCUAGUGGUGCAGCCGCUAUUAGGGUUCGUUUGUUCAACGAUUAAAGUCCUACGUGAUC